UUAAUGGAUGCGGCGAUGAAUGAGAUCAAGACAUCGAAAGGUAAAGAACCUCUAUCUGACGGAUUAAGCGAUGAGAAGUUACUUACAUUUGAAGCUGCAUUAUUUGAUUAUGUUUUUCGUGCAAUGACCAACUCCUCUGGGACUGAUAAUCCGAGAACUGGAAGAUUGYGGACGUGGAUCAGGAUUCACCACAAUCUUACUGGUCUCCAACGGUCACAUUCGUAUUUCUMCAUCUCUCUAUAAAACCCUAACUACAKUGUACAGCUARUAACACAAUCGGCAGAUGUUUCCGGAGAAAAGAACGAUCGCCGCUGUUCAUCCAUUUAAAUUAAACAAAUGGUUYGAGGGCGAUAAAUUUUGCUAGUUCAAGUGUUUGAGAUUGGGUUUUUAAUGGAUGCGGCCAUGAGUGAGAUCAAGAAAUUGAACGGAAGAAAUGAUUUCCGUCUGUGGCGUGAAGAAGUGAGAGCAUUAUCAGAUUCUCAAGGAUUACUCGAGACAUUGAGAGGUAAAGAAGUUCUGUCUGACGGAUUAAGCGAUCGCGAAAAGCAGCCUCUUAUGAGUAASGCACUUAGCGUUACACAAUUGUCAUUAGCGGAUGAAAUUCUGAUUGAAGUUGUUGAUGAGACGUGUCCGGCAAAGCUAUGGAUUUGACUUGAAGAUCGAGUGGAAGUCGAGGAUGACGAUCAAGCUUUACUUCUUUUGCGUUCUCUGCCACCUUCGUAUGGUCGUUUUGUUAAGACUAUAUUGAGUGAAAUAGCCUUGUGUCUGUCGAUAUUGUUAAUGCUCUGCUUUGAGAAGAUGGGGAAAUGAAUUAGAGGGAGCGGUUCAGUUGUACUUGCAAUGCAAGAGGUAGAAGUAGAAACGAAAACAAGAACUAAAGUGAGAGGCAAAGCUGUUGACGAGAGUGUUAUUCUGCUGGGAUUGACAUAUUUUCUGAAGCUCACUCUUUAGGAUUAUCUGAAGUUCGGUUGAUAAAAAUUUUUGAAGUGUGUGAAUUUUUUUAACACCCCUAAGCAAAACAUCAUUCAUUUUUUUUCCUCUCCACAUCACUUCUUACCUCUAACCUUGACAUAUCGAUGGAGCACUUUGGGAUGUUUUUGAGCACUUAGGGUUGCUAUAUGUUCCGGUUAUACAAGUGGUUAUUAAUACGCAGCUGACUGUAUCUUAUAUAAAAAAGUUGUUGGAGUAGAAAUUUCAUCGCCAUGGCCCCAAAGGAGAGAUGUGGCCUCAAAUCUUCUUGCACACAGCAAAGUCUUGAUCAAACAGGCGUCCUUGCAAGACCUGUAAACGGUAUGCUCGGAACCAAACCAAAUUAUUUAUUUUCAUUACCUUCUGUAGGCGGGAUGAUUUUGCAGAAAAAAAGAGGUGCAAUUUGUUCAAGAGCCAGCCAUUGGGGUUGCGAGGGUUCAGAGGGGGUUCCAUCUUGAGCUACUAUUUUUCUUACAGAUUUAAAAUGUCGUUCAACACCAUCCUUCAACGGCAUUAGAAGCGUGAACUUGGAGUUGAAUGAAAUUGAAGACGAAGUUGGAAGCAAUGAACUAUGGAUUCAGUGUCACGAAUCAAAGAGGCAUGCUAGUAAUUUGUGGAAGAAUAAUUUAUAAAUCAAGUUUGAUAAUUCUUAGUAUGGUGGCAUGAUGCGUAUAUGUUUGUCAUCGAUUUAAAGAUCAUGGAAUGGGUUGAAUAUGAACUUUCAUUGGGUGUUUCCCUACUGGGCACAUUUAUGUUUGUUCAAGUAUGAAGAUGGAUUUUUGAUGCCUUUGGGGCGACAUGGAUUCCAACACUUUCUCAUGGAAGUCAAAUUUAUACCCGAGGCAAUUUUUUCCCUUUGCAUUUGAGGAAAAUGCAUUUCAUGUGGAGCCUCUUGAUUCCUCGAGUCUAGAAGAAUUUCAAAAUGUUGAGCAACAACCUGGUACAUGUUGCGACUAUUUCAAGUUAUAUAUUUAGGAAAAAAGAAGAAAAGAAAAUUUGAAGAGAAAAAAAGGA